rnacentral:tRNA from 1 species
GGGGUUGUGGCUCGGUGGAAGAGGUUUUGCUUCGCACGCGGAUGGUCCCAAGUUCGAGCCCCGGGGUCUCCG